UGGUCUAAUAAGCCCCGCCCCCCUUCCCUCCUUUGUGGCCCCGCCCAGUGCACGUCUUUGACAUCUAUGGGGACGGCGAGCAGCACACGGCGCUCGACCUCAGACCGGAGGAGCGGCGCUUUGCGGUCUUUUCCCUUUCUAUGGGGCCGGACGGACGCGAGGUGUGGGGCGGAGCCAACGACGGCUGCCUGUACGGCUAUGACCGGGAGGUGCAGCGCCGCGUGCUGAGGGUGGCGGCGCACGACGACGACGUCAACGCGGUGGCUGUGGGCGACGCCGGGGGG